rnacentral:rRNA from 1 species
CAAAUGAAUUGACGGGACCCGCACAAGCGGUGGAUCAUGUUGUUAAUUCGAUGAUACGCGAAGAACCUUACCAGGUCUUGACAUCCCCCGCGAUGCUUUAGAGAUAAAGCGGAGGUAUUCGGGGAGACAGGUGGUGCAUGGUUGUCGUCAGCUCGUGUCGUGAGAUGUUGGGUUAAGUCCCGCAACGAGCGCAACCCUAUUGCUAGUUACCAUCAUUAAGUUGGGGACUCUAGCGAGACUGCCAGUGAUAAACUGGAGGAAGGUGGGGAUGACGUCAAAUCAUCAUGCCCCUUAUGACCUGGGCUACAAACGUGAUACAAUGGCUGGAACAAAGGGAUGCGAAGCAGUGAUGUGGAGCGAAACCCAUAAAAACAGUCUCAGUUCGGAUUGAAGUCUGCAACUCGACUUCAUGAAGUCGGAAUCGCUAGUAAUCGCGGAUCAGAACGCCGCGGUGAAUACGUUCUCGGGGCUU